GACGGAAGGUGCAAGCGUUGCUCGGAAUCACUGGGCGUAAAGGGCUCGUAGGCGGCCAACUAAGUCGGACGUGAAAUCCCUCGGCUUAACCGGGGAACUGCGUCUGAUACUGGAUGGCUUGAAUCCGGGAGAGGGAUGCGGAAUUCCAGGUGUAGCGGUGAAAUGCGUAGAUAUCUGGAGGAACACCGGUGGCGAAGGCGGCUCGCUGGACCGCAACUGACGCUGAGGAACGAAAGCUAGGGGAGCAAACAGG
rnacentral:rRNA from 1 species